CCUACGAGUGGCAGCAGUGGGGAAUAUUACACAAUGGGGGAAACCCUGAGGCAGCGAAGCCGCGUGAGGGAAGAAGGAUUUAGGUACGUAAAGCUCUAUCAGCAGGGAAGAAAAUGACGGUACCUGACUAAGAAGCACUGGAUAAUUACGUGCCAGCAUCCGCGGUAAUACGUAGGGGGCAAGCGUUAUACGGAUUUACUGGGUUUAAAGGGAUCGUAGACGGCAGCGCAAGUCUGUAGUGAAAUCCCAUGGCUUAACCAUGGAACUGCCUUUGAAACUGUACAUCUUGAGUGCAGGAGAGGUAAGCGGAAUUCCUAGUGUAGCGGUGAAAUGCUUAGAUAUUAGGAGGAACGCCAGUGGCGAAGGCGGCUUACUGAACUGUAACUGACGUUGAUGCUCGAAAGCGUGGGGAGCAAACAGGAUUAGAUACCCUUGUAGUC
rnacentral:rRNA from 1 species